CCCUUCGGGGGUGAGUACAGCGGCGGACGGGUGAGUAACACGUGAGCGAUCCACCUCGAGGCGGGGGACAACCCAGGGAAACCUGGGCUAAUACCGCAUACAGCGGCAGGCAUGGAAGCCUGUCGUGAAAGCUGGCCUCUCCAUGGAAGCUAGCGCCUCUGGACGAGCUCGCGGCCUAUCAGCUCGUUGGUGAGGUAACGGCUCACCAAGGCGAUGACGGGUAGCUGGCGUGAGAGCGCGAUCAGCCACACUGGGACUGAGACACGGCCCAGACUCCUACGGGAGGCAGCAGUGGGGAAUCUUGCACAAUGGGCGAAAGCCUGAUGCAGCGACGCCGCGUGGGGGAGGAAGGCCCUAGGGUUGUAAACCCCUGUCAGGUGGGACGAACCGGAGAUCGGCGAAAGCCGGUUUCUCUGACGGUACCACCAGAGGAAGCUCCGGCUAACUCCGUGCCAGCAGCCGCGGUAAAACGGAGGGAGCAAGCGUUGUUCGGAAUUACUGGGCGUAAAGGGCGCGUAGGCGGCCCUGUAAGUCGCAUGUGAAAGGCCGGGGCUCAACCCCGAGUAUUGCAUGCGAUACUGCAAGGCUAGAGACAGGUAGGGGCGAGCGGAAUUCCCGGUGUAGCGGUGGAAUGCGUAGAUAUCGGGAAGAACACCGGUGGCGAAGGCGGCUCGCUGGGCCUGUUCUGACGCUGAAGCGCGAAAGCGUGGGGAGCGAACAGG
rnacentral:rRNA from 1 species